AACGAACGCUGGCGGCAUGCCUAACACAUGCAAGUCGAACGAGACCUUCGGGUCUAGUGGCGCACGGGUGCGUAACGCGUGGGAACCUGCCCUUAGGUUCGGAAUAACUCCCCGACAGGGGUGCUAAUACCGGAUAAUGUCUUCGGACCAAAGAUUUAUCGCCUUUGGAUGGGCCCGCGUUGGAUUAGCUAGUUGGUAGGGUAAAAGCCUACCAAGGCGACGAUCCAUAGCUGGUCCGAGAGGAUGAUCAGCCACACUGGGACUGAGACACGGCCCAGACUCCUACGGGAGGCAGCAGUGGGGAAUAUUGGACAAUGGGCGAAAGCCUGAUCCAGCAAUGCCGCGUGAGUGAUGAAGGCCUUAGGGUUGUAAAGCUCUUUUACCCGGGAUGAUAAUGACAGUACCGGGAGAAUAAGCUCCGGCUAACUCCGUG
rnacentral:rRNA from 1 species